AUACGGAGGAUCCGAGCGUUAUCCGGAUUUAUUGGGUUUAAAGGGAGCGUAGGUGGACAGUUAAGUCAGUUGUGAAAGUUUGCGGCUCAACCGUAAAAUUGCAGUUGAUACUGGCUGUCUUGAGUACAGUAGAGGUGGGCGGAAUUCGUGGUGUAGCGGUGAAAUGCUUAGAUAUCACGAAGAACUCCGAUUGCGAAGGCAGCUCACUGGACUGCAACUGACGCUGAUGCUCGAAAGUGUGGGUAUCAAACAGGAUUAGAUACCCUGGUAGUCCACACAGUAAACGAUGAAUACUCGCUGUUUGCGAUAUACAGUAAGCGGCCAAGCGAAAGCAUUAAGUAUUCCACCUGGGGAGUACGCCGGCAACGGUGAAACUCAAAGGAAUUGACGGGG
rnacentral:rRNA from 1 species